ACCAGCCUGGGGGAGUUAAUGAGUAAUCCUCAAGGUCAACUCAAUGAGAUUUAGGGUCACCUUGGAAACAACACCCUGGGUAUAGCUGGAGGAACCUCUUCAAAGCCGUUUAGCAGAAGGGGAAAGGUGACCCACCCUGAAGGCGUUUGGAACGAGUUGGCAGACAGAUGUGGAUUUCGUGAUGCCCAUGUGGAAAAUGAGAAGGCCGAGAGAAAUGCAGUCAGCGGAUGCCUAGCUCACAAGGUUUUGGAGGGGAGAAAGAGCUCUAUCAGGGAUGCAACUGGAGACGGUUUAUGGGCAUUCAUUCACUGGUAGGUAAACCUACUUCUUGGGCAGCUGAAUGUAGACUGAAGAGCAGCAGCUCUCUAGUACUCGGGAUUGAGAAUCACCUUGAAGACAAAAUUCUGGGCAUAUCUGGGGGAACUCCUCCUGAGAAGUUUUGCUGAGGAUGGAAUAGCCACCUGGAAUGGGUGGUACCAUACUAUGGGCUGGAGUGAAGAAGUAAGCAAGCCAGCCCAGCGCCAGCAUUCAUUUCUCUCCUCUUCCUGACUAAGGAUGCGAUGUGACCACGUGCCUCCCACUCCUGCCACUGUGACUUAUGGCCCCGCUCCAAUAGACUCUACCAACACACUGCAAACCAAGCAGACUCAAGGGAUGGUUCAGCAGUGACGAGAGCUAUUUGAUCGUCUAGAAAAGCCGAGUUCAGUUCCCAGCGCCCAUACCUGCCAUUCCACAACUGCCUGUGAUUCCAACCCUAGAGGGAUUUGAUGUCCUUUUCUGGCCUCCUCAAGCUCCUACAUGCAUAUGGAUGGUCUAUUCCACCCACUGUCCAGUGUCAGAGGCAGCGGAGCCUCCAUGAGCACAUAGGACAGGUGUGUUGGAAAGAACGCCAUCAAAACCAUCUGGGAGAAAUGACAUUUUAACCUGGUGAGCAUGGACCAAGAGAAAGGUUUGAAUGAAGGAUAAUUGCGGCAGUUGCCCAUCAGAAGUACUAGGAUGUUCUUAUAUCCACCACUUGGAGGGAUUCAUAGAAAGAGAUUAGCCUCUCGCUCGACUCUCUACUCCCCUUCCCCAGUCGUCACCACUAAAACAUACACAUGCACGCACACACACACACACACACCAC